rnacentral:rRNA from 1 species
GACGAACGCUGGCGGCGUGCUUAACACAUGCAAGUAGAACGGUAAGGCCCUGCUUUUGUUGGGUGCUCGAGUGGCGAACGGGUGAGUAACACGUGAGUAACCUGCCCUUGACUUUGGGAUAACUUCAGGAAACUGGGGCUAAUACCGGAUAGGAGUACCUGCUGCAUGGUGGGGGCUGGAAAGUUGCGACGGAUGGGGUUGGACGUGCGGCUUCUCAGCAUGUUGGUGGGGUUGUGGUUACGACAGGCCUAGGCGGGUAGCCGGCCUGAGAGGGUGACCGGCCACAUAGGGACUGAGAUACGGCCAGGACGGCUUCGGGAGGAAGGAGUGGGGAACAGAGCACAAUGGGCGGAAGGCGUAAGGAGCAACGCCGGGUGCGGGAGGACGGCCUUCGGGGUGGAAACCGCGUGCGCCUGGGACGAAGCGUGAGUGACGGUAAUGUGUAAAGAAGCACCGGCUAACUACGUG